rnacentral:lncRNA from 1 species
UGAUUAGAAGGCAGAUAAGUACAGUGUCACCACGUACCAGCCAUACGCUGAGCGACGGCUGGGGCAACUGAGCAACCUCAGGGACUGGUUACAGAUCACUCAAGGCAAGAGAGAACACUUCUGCCGUUGCCCUGAGAGAUCCCAGGACCCUGCGCCGUGUAAUAGAUUUCCAGUGUUCUACAGCACCACAAGGUGACUAGAGUUUACAACCAUCUAUUCUAUAUUUUAUGAAAAAGUAGGAAAGAGUAGUUCAAAGGCUCCAAACACAAAGAGAUGAUAAGGAGAUGGAAAUACUAAUUACCCUGCUGCAUCCUUUCAGGUUGUGCUGAACUGGCCCAUGACGGGGGCUUCCCUAGAAGUAUCUGUGGACCUGAUCAUCACAGAAGACAGAGUGGAACUUCUACCUCACGACUAUUACUUCCUCUGCUGGUGAGAGUGGCCUGGAAUUUCUUGUGUCCUAGAGAAGAAAGUGUGAAACCACGUAAGGAUGCAAUUUUCAGAUUGUGUCCUUGUCCUGAAGCCAUGUGUGACUGUACUUCCCCCUACAAACAUCUUGUAUUUCAAAACUUGCUGAUACAUUAUCUAAACAUUCCGAAUAAUCCUUACCACUGCUAUACGA